rnacentral:rRNA from 1 species
GACGAACGCUGGCGGCGUGCUUAACACAUGCAAGUCGAACGGAAAGGCCAUGCUUUUGUGGGGUGCUCGAGUGGCGAACGGGUGAGUAACACGUGAGUAACCUGCCCUUGACUUUGGGAUAACAUCAGGAAAAUGGGGCUAAUACCGGAUAGGAGCUCCUGCUGCACGGGGGGGGUUGGAAAGUUUCGGCGGUUGGGGAUGGACUAGCGGCUUAUCAGCUUGUUGGUGGGGUAGUGGCUUACCAAGGCUUUGAAGGGUAGCCGGCCUGAGAGGGUGACCGGCCACAUUGGGACUGAGGUACGGCCCAGGCUCCUACUGGAGGCAGCAGGGGGGAAUAUUGCACAAUGGGCGGAAGCCUGAUGCAGCAACGCCGCGUGCGGGAUGACGGCCUUCUUGUUGUAAACCGCUUUCGCCUGUGACGAAGCGUGAGUGACGGUAAUGGGUAAAGAAGCACCGGCUAACUACGUG